rnacentral:rRNA from 1 species
UUUCCGUAGGUGAACCUGCGGAAGGAUCAUUAUUAAAAGUAUAAGAGUGCACUUCAUUGUGGCUUGAACCCUUUUAAAACACACAUUAACCCUAUAAACCCAAAGUUGUCUAGUGUGCUUCGGUAUAGCUUUUCAACAGUAUGUUUCAUUCGUCUUUUCGGGUGUUCGAUUAUCCCCCUUUAUAAGUGACCUCCUUAUUUUUUGAAAUCAUUAUAACACAUAAAGUUUUAAGAAUGCAAACCCCCUAAUAUAUAACUUUUAACAAUGGAUCUCUCGGCUCUCACAUCGAUGAAGUACACAGUGAAUUGUGAAAUGUAAUGUGAAUUGCAGAAUUCAGUGAACCAUCGAAUCUUUGAACGCACCUUGCACCUUUUGGUAUUCCAUAAGGUACACCUGUUUGAGUGUCAUGAAACCCUCUCGUCCACAUUCUUUAUUUGACUAAGGAGUUGUGUGACGGAUGUUGAGCGCUGCCGUAAUUGGCUCGCUUUAAAUAUAUAAGUACUUUUAUUGAUAAAUAAAUGGAGAUAUACUUGAUGUAAUAAUAUUAUUUUAUUCAUUGAGGAGUGCGACUGUAAAAAGGUUGCAGCCAUUUGAGUUUUGAUAAAUAGCUUCCUAAACCCAUGUUAUUCAUAACACAUUUAGACCUCAAAUCAGGUGGGAUUACCCGCUGAACUUAAGCAUAUCAAUAAGCGGAGG